rnacentral:misc_RNA from 1 species
CCUCACAUCUUGCACUGGCCCAUACAUACUGAAGUAAUUUGAAACAUCCUCCUCUCUGAAAGUGCUAUCAGCUGGGAAAGUCAAGUAGAUCUGUCUUGAGGCGGAGUUAACCAACUCACUCCUAUCAAGCCGAGAUCGGCCAAAUUUGUGCAUAUCCUCACCCACCAUCAAUGCAGCAGAAGCGGCAGCAGCCCUCAGGCUAUCAUAUUGCUGCGGUUGAAUUAGGUUCAUGCACUUGGCAGAAUAAGGGAAAGAAGCAGAACUCAUGAGUUGAGAAGCACCAGCUAACCUCUGCUGUUGAGCAGACUUGGAUCUAAGCAUCUCAUGACACUGCUCCAUCGUGUCAAUCUUGUUAGGUGAAACCACAGAUGUAUUAUCUGAUUCUUCGAUCCCAACAUGAAUAAACCUACAAUUACUCCCAUUCUUGCAGUACCCUCUAGCAAAGUAAAGACAAGGCCUCCAUCCAAAACCGGAACUAGGAUCCUCAGACCCCAUGAUAUCGCUAACGGAGCAGCUCCGCCGGUGGAUAGGCCCACCCCAGUAAGAUGGGAAGUGCAUAGAAUCAGUACCAGCAGCUCCCGCUGCAUUUGGACCUGCCGAAGAGUCCAGUUGAGGGUAAAAAAGAUCUGGGCUUUUGGGUCCAACAUUUGUUGAGCCAUCAUUUAGGAAAGAAAGCUGGUCUUGGAGCUGAAACUCUUCUAGCAAAUCAGAUCCUCCUCCCCUACCAUUAGCAUAGAAAGGUGCAGAGGCAGGAUUAAGAGAACUACCAUUAGGACUAAUCAAGUCCUCAGAGUGGCUUGGAAGGUCAGAGAUAGCACUCCAAGACGAAGAAGCAUUUGAAGAAGGGUUUGGGACGGUAAGAGAAGGUGGGAUACUGAAUCCAAGCCUUGCAGGAGGGUAAAUUUGCCUAGAAAUUGUUAUUGGGUUGCUAGAAAAAAGAGAUGGAGGUGAUGGACUAGAAGAAGUAUUUGUAGGGGAGUUGAGUCCUAGUUCUCUCCUGGCCUUGAGGAUCACCGAGUGAACAAGGGCCUCCGGACCAAAAGCUAACCUAAUCAUUUCUUUUUCACCAUGGUCUUGAAUCAAAAGGAGACCCAUGAUUUUAGAGGCAUCUUCUGGGUCUAGGCUUUGGAUCCUUGAGAACACAAUCCUUGUUGCUUCAUAACCAUCCAUGUUGCUAGAAUUUGAGUUUGGUAGUGGGUUUCACACCAAACCCACCCUUCCAGAGCAAAGCUUUGUUUGCUUUGUCUAUGCUAAUAGUGACUUGCCUUGCCUUUGAUUUGUAAGAUUACUCAUGUCCUCUCUUUACAAGUAAAACUUCUUUCUCAACUACAAACCCUACCUACCAACUUGAAAGAAGAGUAUUAGACUAGUGCCUUUCUCUUAUUCUUGCAAAACCCAAGAAAGAAAUAUAAAGCGAAAGAAGAAAAAGAAAAGAAAGCGUUAAAAAAGGAGUAUUCCCGUGUGGGAAUUAAAAGGAGGAAACUAAAAUAAAGGAGCAAGCUAAUAGUUGCCUUAGUUAAAAGCCAAAUAAAUUAAAAAUGGUAGUUGAAUUUCUUUAUAAAGCGAACCAUGAACAAGAGAUAGAACUAGCAAAAGGAGGAGAAGAUGGCACUCUAUUCUCCUUUUCCUUCUUUUAAUUUUUCUUGCAAGUUGAUAAUAACAAUGAAAGGUAUAGAAAUUUAAACCCAGGCCAAAGAGUACGUCUUACCCAUGAAAGAAAUGCCCUUUAUUUCUCUCCACGAACCAAGAAGAUUCACAGUAAGCUCGAUUGAAUUUCUUUAAUUAGUUCUCUUUUCAUGACUCUGCUCCUUUCUCAAAUUUACUACAAAGGCCCGACCACCGCUUUCUCUCUAGGCUGGUUGCAGAAGUUCUGAGCAGUAGUAGUAGCAACAGUCGAACAAUCAAUUACUUCACUGCAGCGGCUGCCGUAUUUGGGCCCUGAGCUAGAAGACAGUCAAAGCUGUGUCUUGACACACUCUCUCUCCUAAAUUAUGAAUGGAGUUGAUGAGGUAAAUACACCGGGGAGAGUUGUAGUGAGAGAGCGUGGGCAGUUGCAAAUUUGGGUUCCUGGAGCGGAUCCGGAUCUCUGCCUCAAAUAAUGCACGUUCCUUAGCGAAGCCCUGGCAC